GUCCACAGAUCGUCACUAGACAUCUGUUAGCAUACUCCCAGAAUCCCUCAGUUCUCCAUUAAAAAAUAUCGCCUGAGUCCUCGCAGCUUCCACCAUUAACUUACAAGCUCUACCGAUAUUUCUGAAACUGAGGUUUUAACAUGGAGUUAGAAGUAACAUCCACAUCAAUCUCUCCUUUAACAGUACUUUGAAAAAAAUGGAACUUAAAGACGGGAAAUGUCAAGGCUAAACAUCCAAGAAACAGCCUACGAGAGACGGCCAGAGAACUGAGGGCCCUUGCCCAUGCUUGCCAAGCACACCAUCACUGUGCUAUAACCUCAGCUGCUUUACUCAGUGUAUUGCCUGUUUAGUGGAGAGACAUAUCAAACCAGACCUGAAAGAUUAUUAAAAUUUUGAGAUAGGAGGAUCAAUCCCAUAGAAAUCACUUAAGAAAGUAAAAAAAAAAGAGAUCUGCACCCUGGAGCUAAGGCUGUGCCACAGCAGUCCAUACCCAAAUCCCACCAAGAGAGAGAGAGCUGGUCUCCCAGGAGUGCUGUCACUCCUAAGUUCACAGAGGAGACCACCACUUUUGCUCCAAAAAUUGGCCAAAGAGGGACCUGCCAGGAGACCACAGGACACAGGAACCUUGGAGCAGCUGGAGACAGGAUCCUUCUGGUCUCCACAUAUGCCACAAAGCUAAGGUUGAGACACAGCUCUCUAUACUCAAAUCCUGCCCAGAGACAGCCUGUCUCCCAGGAGUGCUGACACACCUAAGAUCACAGGCUCACAGAUUCACAGGAGGGACAAACUCCAGUCAGAGACAGCAAGACCAACUAAUACCAAAGAUAACCCGAUGGUAAGAGGCAAGCACAGGAACCUAAGCAACAGAAACCAAGGCCACUUGACAUCAUCAGAACCCAGUUCUCCCACCACAGCAAAUACUGGAUACCCCAACACACCGGAAAAGCAAGAUUCAGAUAUGAAAUCACAUCUCAUAAUGAUGAUGGAGGACUUUAAGAAGGACAUAAAUAACUCCCUUAAAGAAAUACAGGACAACACAGGUAAACAAGUAGAAGCCCUUAAAGAGGAAACACAAAAAUCCCUUAAAGAAUUACAGGAAAACACAACCAAACUGGUGAAGGACUUCAAUAAAGUCAUCCAGGAUCUAAAACUGAAAAUAGAAACAAUAAAGAAAGCACAAAGGGAGACAACCCUGGAGAUAGAAAACCUAGGAAAGAGAUCAGGAGUCAUAGGCACAAGCAUCACCAACAGAAUACAAGAGAUAGAAGAGAGAAUCUCAGGGGCAGAAGAUACCAUUGAAAUCAUUGACACAAAAGUGAAAGAAAAUGCAAAAUGCAAAAAGUUCCUAACCCAAAGCAUCCAGGAAACCAGGACACAAUGAGAAGACCAAACUUAAGGAUAAUAGGUAUAGAAGAAAGCUAAGAGUCCCAGCUUAAAGGGCCAGUAAAUGUCUUCAACAAAUUAUAGAAGAAAACUUCCCUAACCUAGAGAAAGAGAUGCCCAUAAACAUACAAGAGGCUGACAGAAGUCCAAAUAGACUGGACCAGAAAAGAAAUUCUUCCUGUCAUAUAAUAGUCAAAACACCAAAUGCACAAAACAAAGAAAGAAUAUUAAAAGCAGUAAGGGAAAAACGUCAAGUAACAUAUAAAGGCAGACCUAUCAGAUUUACCCUAGACUUCUCACCAAUGAAGUAAAAAGAAUCUUCUAAUGUCUUAAGCUUGUUUUUUCCUUCUCUUUUCCUUGCUUCACUCUUUUCUUCCUUCCUUUCUUAACUUCUCCUUUUUAGUCCAGAUUUAUCAGAUAUAUCAUCAGUUCCUGUGAUACUUGUAAUCUCAAGGUCAGAUGGAUCUCAAAAAAGAAACCGUGCAUACCCAACAUUAUCAAUCACCUCAGGAGAACAGAGAAAAUGUUAAAUGAUUUUAAAUAUUCCAAGACACAGGAGACUGUCUUGGCUAAGUUACGUUACACUUCAUGGCUGAGUGUUUGACAGUUUUCUCAUUCCAAGAAAGAAGAAAGUUAUACAAAAGUUAAAAGGUUUAUAAGUCAAAUUAAAUCUAAAAGAAAAUCAAACCCCCAGAAGUUUCUUUAAAGAAAAUGAUGGGCCAUCCGAUGUCUCACCAUAUUUUAGGGUCUACUGUUUGCCUUUUAAGGCCUGCAUACCCAAUGGCUGAAUAAGAAUAAUUUCAUUUGGAUGAAAAUUGUGAAAAUUCUUCAAGAGGAGUGGCCAAUGUAUAAAACCUUUGAUUAGUAAUUAAUUUAUGUAUUCAGAGGUGGCUAGAGAACUAAUGAAGUAAAAUAUAGUGUUUGAGGUUCAAUUUUUAUGAGUUUAUUUACUCAUUUUGUGGGGCAGUGGGUAGGCACAUACACCAAGACAUGCAUGCAGAAGUGAAAGGAUGGAUUCCAAAGGUUAGUUCUCUCCUUUCACCAUAUGGAUUCUAGGGAAGUCUAUGCAGGUCAUCAGACUUGAUAAAGCACUUUUAACCAGUGAACCAUCUCUCCAGCCCUGAAGUCAAAUUUUUAUUUUCUUGAACAUCAAGCAUUAUUGACAAUAAAAUCCAAGUUCCUGUUGAAAUGGCUUAUCUGUAUCUUUUCUGAACAAGUAUAUAAUAUUAGCCCUAUUUUAUGCUAAGAACGAUUAAGGCCUUUAGAGCUGUGAAAACACCAGAAGGUGGGAUUGAACAGAUUGGAAGCUGAGGAGAAAAAGUGAAGUUUUGUUCUUGGAGAAGGGAUCACACACAAACCAAGUGAAAUGUAACCGCACAGCAGAGAUACAAGGUUAGAAGCCGAUAAAUAAACCAUUCCUAUAGUGAGAGUGCCAGUUCCUCUACACAGCCAAUGUCUGAGAAGCGUAUUUGAUUAUGGAAAAGUUUUUAGAAAGCACUGUGUGUCUUCGUUUCACCACCACAGGGAUGCAGAACACCACUCGGAAGGGGAGACACAAAAGCUCUUGGCUACAUUCCCUUUCCUCAUUUGGGGUGCUAAGCUGGAAGGACACACCGCCGAGGGGCGGCAAAAGAAGCCUAAGAUGGGGGCCCCACCGACGCUGUGUUUCCCAAACUACUGUGCUAAUCAGGUAGGAACCCUUGACUGGGCGUAAUCUGGCUUAGCUCAGGGAUGAGUACCCAGACUGUGGGAAGGCCUUUUGCAGGAGACUUAGACUCUGAAGAAGGCUUCCCCUCACAGCAGUCCUUGAGGAAGAUGACAGUGCUUGCUUGUCCAAACUGUUUAUUCAUGGUGGAAAAUCAAUGCAUAUGACUUACCCAGGGUGGACCAGAGAUUAAAUACCUUUUGUGGAAAGGACGCCCAGGAAUGGAAACUUAUGGGCUAAACCCUCAGGGCCCAUCCAGAUACUUCAUUAGCCUAGGCAACUUGGGCUGUAUGCUAUGUGACCAGUUCUCAUGAUCCUCUUAGAGGUGUGUCGUGGUCAGAAACCAGGUCGGGAGCAGAUUCAAACAUCUACCGUUCUCAAUUAUGAUAGUUACCAGGGUUCCUUAAUCUGCUCGACCUUACCAGUUUUUCUGUCUGGUGACACAGUGCCACUUGACCCACAAAUGACUACUAUUUGAGGGUGUGGAGGAUUAAGAAAAGUGGGGACUCAUGGAAAAUAAAGGAAAUGAGACUGCAAAGGAAACCAUGCCUCAUAAAUAAGGACAAAAGGAUACAUUCGUACAUUUAUAUAAACUAAGAGUAAAGUUAAAGGAAAAGUUAACUAAAACUGCAAGUUUGGAAAAAAUCAUUUUUUUGUAUUUUGACAAAAACUUGUUAAUAACAGAAGAAAACGAUCGGCACUUGGAGAUUUCACUGGAGGCUCAGUGUUGUGGAAAAUGACAGGCUGGAGAAAAGGAAAUGGAAAAGUUUAACAGGCUGCAGUGGACCAUGGACCACGUUCACGUUUCAUGGUUUCAACUAACUGAAAAUCUAAAUGCUUACAGGAGAGAAGCAAGGAAUCACAGGCCCUAAAGGUAGAACAGAAUGUGUCUUUCUCCAUAAAGACAACAGUGGAUUAAAUCCCCACAACUGUUUGGUAUGCAGGAAUGUAGACUAAAAGAGAAGCCAAUAGUCUAGAUUUGAAUCCAAAAUGUUCCAAUCUGUAAGUGCUGGAAAUGGAUUCGCUGUUAUAAAAAUAGCUCAUGGUGCCUAGCAACAUGCACUUGUAAAACAGAGCUGAAAAAAGAUAAGUGAAAUGAGAUUUACCAUCUAAUAUUAUUUAUAUAAACUUAAAUUCUUUUACAUUAAAAGCAAAUUUUUCUAGAAUGUUCCACUUGCAUUGAGUGAAAUAAGUCAAACUCAUUGGGUUUGUUAGAAGAGACAAGACAGACUAUGAAAAAGGAAAGGGAAAUAAAUAAAGGAAGAAUAUUUUUACAUGGACAUGAGAUAAUAGUGUGGUAUGGAAUGAAAAAUAUGAUUAUCUAAUUUUCUGUUUCUAAUAUACAAAGAGCAAAUAAAUGAAAAAAAUCUCAUAGACUACUACAGCAAACGUCAAAAAUAAAAGAAUGUUAAUAGCUUGUUUUUACCUUUUAGAUUCUUAUUUACAUUUUCUCCCCCAAGAACUGUCCUAAAAUCAUAGACUCUUGAGUAAAGAUGACUAGUGAUGGGGAGGGCGCUGAGUACUGUGUGGCCACUGCUGUUGCUACUGGGUCAUCUCUUGCUGCCUGAUUCUGCACCAUGAACCAGGAGAGAAAGAAUUCACAAAAAAUUCACAAAAAAUUCAGAUCGGUCCCUAUCAAGCUACCCAAUCAUAUUUUGCAUACUCUAUUUUCAUGAAGAGCAAAGAAGCAAAGAAGUUCUUGGAUUUACCCUCUUAAAAUAAUUCUUAUAAAUAUGUUUGUACAUAUCUGGUGGCCAAAGGUGGCGGUUUUCAGGUCAACUAUAUUUCUAACUGCCUCCCGCUCAUUCCAUGUGAACGGUUAUCAGCGUGAAACACGGACUUCAUCCUACCUUCUUCAUUGUUGCUGUUUGGGGAACAAGAAAUAUUCGUCUCUGCAUAUCUCUGCAUGCAGGAGAAAAGGGAAGGAAGAAAUGGUAUUGGCAGAGGUGAAUAGAAACAAAGAAGAAUUGCAUAUGCAUGCCAAUGUCACAGUGAUGUCCCAUGAAUCAUAAACCGAAUAUGACUGAAUUAUAAAUACUAAAGAAUCUUUGUGAGAAGAAAUAAGGAAGGAAAUGGCCCAACCAUUUCUCUAUUUCUGUAGAGAAAAAAGCUACUGGUUACCAACACUAACAAUGUAUUUUUGAGAAUGUUUGAUUAAUUCUAGAAUGCUGGUGAUACUUGCCUAACAUUAAAAGGACUAUAAAG